rnacentral:rRNA from 1 species
GAUGAACGCUGGCGGCGUGCCUAAUACAUGCAAGUCGAGCGAACAGACGCGGAGCUUGCUCCUCUGACGUUAGCGGCGGACGGGUGAGUAACACGUGGAUAACCUACCUAUAAGACUGGGAUAACUUCGGGAAACCGGAGCUAAUACCGGAUAAUAUAUUGAACCGCAUGGUUCAAUAGUGAAAGACGGUUUUGCUGUCACUUAUAGAUGGAUCCGCGCCGCAUUAUCUAGUUGGUAAGGUAACGGCUUACCAAGGCAACGAUGCGUAGCCGACCUGAGAGGGUGAUCGGCCACACUGGAACUGAGACACGGUCCAGACUCCUAAGGGAGGCAGCAGUAGGGAAUCUUCCGCAAUGGGCGAAAGCCUGACGGAGCAACGCCGCGUGAGUGAUGAAGGUCUUCGGAUCGUAAAACUCUGUUAUUAGGGAAGAACAAAUGUGUAAGUAACUAUGCACGUCUUGACGGUACCUAAUCAGAAAGCCACGGCUAACUACGUG